rnacentral:rRNA from 1 species
GACGAACGCUGGCGGCGUGCUUAACACAUGCAAGUCGAACGGAGUGGCGAACGGGUGAGUAACACGUGUGUGAUCUGCCUUGCACUUCGGGAUAAGCUUGGGAAACUGGGUCUAAUACCGGCUAGUUCAAGAUGUGCUCGCGGCCUAUCAGCUUGUUGGUGGGGUAUUGGCCUACCAAGGCGUCGACGGGUAGCCGGCCUGAGAGGGUGUACGGCCAAAAUGGGACUGAGAUACGGCCCAGACUCCUACGGGAGGCAGCGGUGGGGAAUAUGGCACAAUGGGGGGAAGCCUGAUGCAGCGACGCCGGGUGGGUGAUGAAGGCCUUCGGGUUGUAAACUCCUUUCGGCAGGGACGCGGUACCUGUAUAAGAAGCACCGGCUAACUACGUGCCAGCAGCCGCGGUAAUUC